UACGGAGGAUGCAAGCGUUAUCCGGAAUUAUUGGGCGUAAAGCGUCCGUAGGUGGUUAGCCAAGUCAGUUGUUAAAGCGUAGAGCUUAACUCUAUAAGGGCAAAUGAAACUGGUUAGCUAGAGUGCGAUAGGGGCAAGGGGAAUUCCCAGUGUAGCGGUGAAAUGCGUAGAUAUUGGGAAGAACAUCGGUGGCGAAAGCGCCUUGCUGGGUCUGCACUGACACUGAGGGACGAAAGCUAGGGGAGCGAAA
rnacentral:rRNA from 1 species